AAACCAAUCCAGCUUGCUGGGUCUUGGGCUUUCGCCUCCGGGCGGGCCUUAAAAUCAGUGGCGGUGCCAUCCGGCUCUAAGCGUAGUAAUUCUUCUCGCUACAGAGUCCCGGGUGGAGGCUUGCCAGCUAACCCCUAAUUUUUCUA
rnacentral:misc_RNA from 1 species